rnacentral:RNase_P_RNA from 1 species
GAAGCUGACCAGACAGUCGCCGCUUCGUCGUCGUCCUCUUCGGGGGAGACGGGCGGAGGGGAGGAAAGUCCGGGCUCCAUAGGGCAGGGUGCCAGGUAACGCCUGGGGGGGACGUACUGAACCCGGGUAGGCUGCUUGAGCCAGUGAGCGAUUGCUGGCCUAGAUGAAUGACUGUCCACGACAGAACCCGGCUUAUCGGUCAGUUUCACCU